UCCCACGGGAACGUGGUCCAUCUCCACGAGCGCGACUGCUCGGUGCAGCGCCGGCACCAGAAGGUGGUGGAGAUCGCGCCGGCGGCGCGGCUGCCGGCAGAGCUGAGAGCGCGGCUGGCCCGGGACGCCGUGAGGCUGGCGCGGCAGGUGGGCUACGAGAACGCCGGCACCGUGGAGUUCCUGGUGGACCAGAGCGGGGAUUAUUAUUUCAUCGAGGUGAACUCGCGGCUGCAGGUGGAGCACACGGUCACCGAGGAGAUCACCGGCGUGGACCUGGUCCAUGCCCAGCUGCAGGUGUCCC